GACGAACGCUGGCGGCGUGCUUAACACAUGCCAGUCGAACGGAAAGGCCCUGCUUUUGUGGUGUGCUCGAGUGGCGAACGGGUGCGUAACAGGUGAGUAACCUGCCCUUGCCUUUGGGGUCACUUCAGGCAACUGGGGCUAAUCCCGGAUAGGAGCUCCUGCUGCAUUGUGGGGGUUGGAACGUUUGGGCGGUUGGGGAUGGACUCGCGUCGGAUCAGCUAGUUGGUGGGGUAGUGGCUUACCCAGGCGUUGACGGGUCGCUGGUCUGAGAGGGUGAUCGGCCACACUGGAACUGAGACACGGUCCAGACUCCUACGGGAGGCAGCAGUGGGGAAUAUUGGACAAUGGGCGCAAGCCUGAUCCAGCCAUACCGCGUGGGUGAAGAAGGCCUUCGGGUUGUAAAGCCCUUUUGUUGGGAAAGAAAAGCAGCAGGUUAAUACCCCGCUGUUCUGACGGUACCCAAAGAAUAAGCACCGGCUAACUUCGUG
rnacentral:rRNA from 1 species